ensembl:lncRNA
AUGAAUUUAAGUUGUGCAUAUAUAUACCUUUCAGGAGAAAUAAAGGUUAAGUUUUUGUUUAGGAUGGAUAUGUUAGCCCCUGAGAAGAAAGCACAUGAAGAGAAAGAAGAUUUGCAACAAUAUCAUCAGAAACCUGCAAACUGCAAGAAACUGCUUAGGAAUUGCUGCUUGGUGAAACGAUUUUUUGCCUGGAAAAGUUUGAGCACUAAAGAAGGGGUAAGUGGAAGGACUUGGUGCUGUUCAUUGCUCCAGUAA